GAUGAACGCUGGCGGCGUGCCUAAUACAUGCAAGUCGAGCGAACAGACGAGGAGCUUGCUCCUUUGACGUUAGCGGCGGACGGGUGAGUAACACGUGGGUAACCUACCUAUAAGACUGGGAUAACUUCGGGAAACCGGAGCUAAUACCGGAUAAUAUUUCGAACCGCAUGGUUCGAUAGUGAAAGAUGGCUUUGCUAUCACUUAUAGAUGGACCUGCGCCGUAUUAGCUAGUUGGUAAGGUAACGGCUUACCAAGGCAACGAUACGUAGCCGACCUGAGAGGGUGAUCGGCCACACUGGAACUGAGACACGGUCCAGACUCCGACGGGAGGCAGCAGUAGGGAAUCUUCCGCAAUGGGCGAAAGCCUGACGGAGCAACGCCGCGUGAGUGAUGGAGGUCUUCGGAUCGUAAAACUCUGUUAUUAGGGAAGAACAAACGUGUAAGUAACUGUGCACGUCUUGACGGUACCUAAUCAGAAAGCCACGGCUAACUACGU
rnacentral:rRNA from 1 species